rnacentral:rRNA from 1 species
GAUGAACGCUGGCGGCGUGCUUAACACAUGCAAGUCGAACGGAAAGGCUCCUGCUUGCAGGGGUACUCGAGUGGCGAACGGGUGAGUAACACGUGGGUGAUCUGCCCUGCACUUCGGGAUAAGCUUGGGAAACUGGGUCUAAUACCGGAUAGGACCGCAUUUUGGAUGGUGUGGUGGAAAGUUUUUUCGGUGUGGGAUGAGCUCGCGGCCUAUCAGCUUGUUGGUGGGGUAAUGGCCUACCAAGGCGUCGACGGGUAGCCGGCCUGAGAGGGUGUACGGCCACAUUGGGACUGAGAUACCGCCCAGACUCCUACGGGAGGCAGCAGUGGGGAAUAUUGCACAAUGGGCGCAAGCCUGAUGCAGCGACGCCGCGUGGGGGAUGACGGCCUUCGGGUUGUAAACUCCUUUCGCUAGGGACGAAGAGUAAUUGACGGUACCUGGAGAAGAAGCACCGGCUAACUACGUG